rfam:Daphnia pulex DAPPTscaffold_35_Cont2025, whole genome shotgun sequence.
CCAACGGCUCUUUUGAGGGCCACCAAGAAUUUCAGAAAAAGCUGU